GGGGAGUGUGACGUGAAGUCAGUCACGUCAGAACAUUCUUAAUUUAAGACAUUACGUCAUUAUGCUGAGUCAUGCUUUUGCUAUAUUUAUUGUUUAUGUAGUAUUUAGAAAUAGUAUUUAGGGACGGACCAUUAGAUAUUUGAGGGGGGGAGGCAAUUUUGUUGUGCAUGAAUUUUUUUUCAUCCCUCAACUGUUGGCAAGAUUUUUUUUUACAACAUUCCUUUGCAAGAUAUUUUUUAAAAAUACCCUAAAAAAUGUUUCCCGGAAAGUUCGUCGAUUGUCGAUUGUCGUAAAAGACCAUUUUACUGUUUUAAAUCAAUUGUAUUACGAUUUUAAAAUUCAGCCCUAGUUCUUGCUCGAUUUUUUUUUCAAUAGGUUUGUUGUGCACGAUAUUUUUUUCUGGAUUUUUUCUGUGCGAUAAUUUUG
rnacentral:lncRNA from 1 species